rnacentral:lncRNA from 1 species
UUUUUUCCUCAUCUCUUAGACUUUCACUUUACAAACCCUAAAAAACAAACUUACAGCUCUCUCUCCUAUCGGCCACCACCAAGAUCCUCCAUCAGUUCCACAAGAUCACAAGAUGUUGACGUUGAUGCUCCUCCUGAAAUUCUCAUCAAUCAAAAACCCUCUCAAAUUUUGCACAAUUUUCUUCCGAUUUUAUCUAUCCAGCUGAUAUUUUGGCUUUGUCGUCAUUCCGAUUUAAGGUUAUCAAUCCUUUGAUGUUGUUUGAAGACAAUCAUGAUAAUCAGAUGGAGGUAAAUAGAGGAAUAUCAAAAAUUCUUUGUUUUUUCAUGACCAGUUACAAGAUUAGUCGGCCUCAAAUUGUAUAAUGUUUAUUACUUAUCCAUAUUACAUGUGUUGUAUGUAACCAAUUAGGGUUCUGAUUAUCAUCUUCUCAUUGUGGCUACAAUUAAGAUUGGGGUUUUUUAGUCUUUUGCAACAAUCGUUGCAACGAACUUCGAAGUUACUAACCUCAAUCAAAGGUUUUUUUAAUCCUCUGUUUUAUUACGUGAUUAAGUUUUUUUGAUUUCUUUGUUUGUGAAUAGGGUUGUAUUGUUAUUGUUAACAAAUUUAGCUAGAAGGUUGUAGAAUUCAAGAUCUCUUAAAAAGAAGCUUUUGAUUUUACAAGGAUUGCAAUUAAUUUAUAGUGUAGGACAAUCUGUUUUAUUUAUUAUUUAUUUCAUAUUUAUAUU